UCAUAGCUCAGCUGGAUAGAGCAACGGCCUUCUAAGCCGUGGGUCGCAGGUUCGAAUCCUGCUGG
rnacentral:tRNA from 1 species